rnacentral:rRNA from 1 species
CCCUGGUAGUCCACGCCGUAAACGGUGGGCGCUAGUUGUGCGAACCUUCCACGGUUUGUGCGACGCAGCUAACGCAUUAAGCGCCCCGCCUGGGGAGUACGAUCGCAAGAUUAAAACUCAAAGGAAUUGACGGGGCCCCGCACAAGCAGCGGAGCAUGCGGCUUAAUUCGACGCAACGCGAAGAACCUUACCAAGGCUUGACAUAUACAGGAAUACGGCAGAGAUGUCGUAGCGGUAAAACGUCUGUAUACAGGUGGUGCAUGGUUGUCGUCAGCUCGUGUCGUGAGAUGUUGGGUUAAGUCCCGCAACGAGCGCAACCCUCGUUCUGUGUUGCCAGCAUUUAGUUGGGGACUCACAGGAGACUGCCGGGGUUAACUCGGAGGAAGGUGGGGAUGACGUCAAAUCAUCAUGCCCCUUAUGUCUUGGGCUGCACGCAUGCUACAAUGGCUGGUACAAACGGCUGCAAUACCGCAAGGUGGAGCGAAUCCGAUAAAGCCAGUCUCAGUUCGGAUUGGGGUCUGCAACUCGACCCCAUGAAGUCGGAGUUGCUAGUAAUCGUAGAUCAGCAACGCUACGGUGAAUACGUUCCCGGGGCUUGUACACACCGCCCGUCACAUCACGAAAUCGGUAACACCCAAA